CCUACGGGGGGCAGCAGUGGGGAAUAUUGGUCAAUGGGCUUAAGCCUGACCCAGCAACGCCGCGUGAAGGAAGAAGGCUUUCGGGUUGUAAACUUCUUUUGUCAGGGACGAAGCAAGUGACGGUAUCUGACGAAUAAGCCACGGCUAACUACGUGCCAGCAGCCGCGGUAAUACGUAGGUGGCAAGCGUUAUCCGGAUUUAAUGGGUGUAAAGGGCGUGUAGGCGGGACUGCAAGUCAGAUGUGAAAACCACGGGCUCAACCUGUGGCCUGCAUGUGAAACGGUAGUUCUUGAGUACUGGAGAGACAGACGGAAUUCCUAGUGUAGCGGUGAAAUGCGUAGAUAUUAGGAGGAACACCAGUGGCGAAGGCGGUCUGCUGGACAGCCACUGAUGCUGGAGCGCGAAAGCGUGGGGAGCAAACAGGAUUAGAUACCCCUUGUAGUC
rnacentral:rRNA from 1 species